rnacentral:rRNA from 1 species
GAUGAACGCUGGCGGCGUGCCUAAUACAUGCAAGUCGAGCGAACAGACGAGGAGCUUGCUCCUCUGACGUUAGCGGCGGACGGGUGAGUAACACGUGGAUAACCUACCUAUAAGACUGGGAUAACUUCGGGAAACCGGAGCUAAUGCCGGAUAAUAUAUUGAACCGCAUGGUUCAAUAGUGAAAGACGGUUUUGCUGUCACUUAUAGAUGGAUCCGCGCCGCAUUAGCUAGUUGGUAAGGUAACGGCUUACCAAGGCGACGAUGCGUAGCCGACCUGAGAGGGUGAUCGGCCACACUGGAACUGAGACACGGUCCAGACUCCUACGGGAGGCAGCAGUAGGGAAUCUUCCGCAAUGGGCGAAAGCCUGACGGAGCAACGCCGCGUGAGUGAUGAAGGUCUUCGGAUCGUAAAACUCUGUUAUUAGGGAAGAACAAAUGUGUAAGUAACUAUGCACGUCUUGACGGUACCUAAUCAGAAAGCCACGGCUAACUACGUG